AGUGGCGACGGGUGAGUAACGCGUAGGAAUCUAUCCUUGAAUGGGGGACAACCGUGGGAAACUACGGCUAAUACCGACAUGAUGCCUGAGGGCCAAAGACGAAAGUCGUUUGAGGAGGAGCCUGCGUCUGAUUAGGUAGUUGGUGGGGUAAAGGCCUACCCAAGCCUACGAUCAGUAGCUGGUCUGAGAGGAUGAUCAGCCACAUUGGGACUGAGACACGGCCCAAACUCCUACGGGAGGCAGCAGUGGGGAAUAUUGGACAAUGGGCGCAAGCCUGAUCCAGCAAUGCCGCGUGGGUGAAGAAGGUCUUCGGAUUGUAAAGCCCUUUUGGCGGGGACGAUGAUGACGGUACCGCAGAAUAAGCUCCGGCUAACUUCGUG
rnacentral:rRNA from 1 species